rnacentral:misc_RNA from 1 species
GUGAAUCAUCGAAUCUUUGAACGCAAAUUGCGCUCUCUGGUAUUCCGGGGAGUAUGCCUGUUUGAGGGUCAGCUAAAUAAACAUCGAUUGAUUGCUUGUUUUUUGUAAAUAUAGUAGAGUUUAUCGUAUCUGAGCCUUCUUUUUUUUUUUAUUUUAAAGUGGCUUAUAAUGUAUUUUGUGUAUGAUAAACGUAUUUUUUGAUU